GGCUUAGUUGGCUUGCCAUAGUUCCAAGGCGUAAAAGUAAGCCCUGCACGGCGUUUUGGACGGCGUUUUUUAAGUAUUACGCACGCUUUAAGCGCCGUCAGACCCAGGCGAAUUCUGACCCAUUUGGCUUGUCAUAAAGAACAGCGAGCUAGCACACGAGGGUGAUAUAUCCAAGAGUGCGCGCGCAGAUUCGUACAAGAGGAGAGUUAAACUGAGAGAGAGCAUGCUACAACCAGUGUCAACAGUUUGUUUGUAUAUAAAGAGAUGGAGAGCACUGCAUACAGUUUAACCAGUGACACCAGUGAGUAGAGACACAACAUUGGUAUGGUAUUUCUGUGUGAUUGCUUUGAUUUUAUUAAAUGGUUGCUGUGGUGUUGCUAACUGGUUUUACAGCUUCAUCCAGUGUCAACAGUGAGUCUUUAUUUACAGAAGUGACGAUCAGUAAAUCCACUGUUACCAGUGACACCACUUCAUCCAGUGUCAACAGUGAGUCUUCAUUUACAAGAGUAAUGAGCAGUGACUCCACUGUUACCAGUGACACCACUUCACCCAGUGUCAACAGUGACUCUUCAUUUACAGGAGUGAUAAGCAGUGACUCCACUGUAACCAGUGACACCACUACAUCCAGUGUUAACAGUGUGCCUGCAUAUGAAGAAUCGGAGGGCAAUGCAGACAAUGCACCCAGUAACAUCACUCCAUCCAGUUUAACGAGUGAAUCUACAUUUACAGGAGUGAUGAACACUGUAUCCACUGUUACCAGUAACACCACUCCAUCCAGUGUCAACAGUAAGUCUACAUUUACAGGAGUGAAGAGCAGUGGAUCCACUGUUACCAGUGACAUCAAUACAUCCAGUGUCAACACUUCGUCUGCACCGAAAGAAGUGGAAACUACUGGAUCUGCUCUUACUAGUAAGACCACUUUAUCCAGUAUGUUAACAGGAGUGAAGAGCAGUGGUUCCACUGUUACCAGUAACACCAG
rnacentral:lncRNA from 1 species